UAUUAAUUUGCAAAUUGUGCAGUAUUAAAUAUAAAAUUGAAAAUUCAUCUAGUUCAAUACUGUGUGAAAGUGACUCAACAUACUCGGAGAAUUCUAAAUUUAUGAAUGAUUAAAUAGGGAAAAUGAUCCUUAUGCCAUUGAUUUUUGCCUCAGCGUCUUCUCUUUUUGGCGCCAUUGAUUUUUGCCUUAACAGUUCUGAAGAACGAUUCAAUCUCUUAUCUUGAAAUGACGUGCAAUUCGGAUAAUUUUCUCUUGCACGAGGGCACCCGGGAUGAUUUUUUGGGGGUUGGUGGGCAGCUGAGGAUCUUGGGAAUCAUGUUUUGAGGAGACUUUGGUGUGGCAAUCUUGAUCAUUGAUUAACGUUUGAUUUGUGCAAUUUUGAUCAUCAGACAAUUGUGAAGAGUUGAUCUUUAUAGUUGGUGAUCUGAUUUCGUGCAAUUCUUGUUUGAAUUCAAGAUCUGUAGACCUUGUUUCUUGGUGGGGAUAGGCGGAGAGAGGUUGUGG
rnacentral:lncRNA from 1 species